rnacentral:lncRNA from 1 species
AGUAAUCAUUAAUUUGCAAAUCAGUAAUUUUAUUCAGAAAAUGUAGCACAUAAUACUUAGCAGUGCAAAACAAUUCAUCCUAUAAUAUAUACUGAAAAAUGAUUGUCAUCUUGCAGAUUUUUCCUUUGAAACAUGCAUGACCUUCUCUAGUACUUUGUACAAUGUAUGGUAUACUAAAUAUAUUUAUGUGUAAUUUUGUGUGUACUUUUUGGCUCAGGUAUUAAUGUGUAGCAUUAUUUGGUGCUUUCUUUUUAAUCUGUCAUAAUUUGAUGUUCUGAAUGUUCAACAAUAAAUUUGGAGAAC